rnacentral:lncRNA from 1 species
AACAACUUUGUCAACAAACAGCUGAUGUGACGGAACAAGUCAAAAGCUUGAAUGAAAAGUUCGACAAAUUUCUAGAGAGGUGUGAUUCCAAGAGAUAUGAAGUUACCUUCAGGAAUUUGGAUACACAAAUGGAUGAGAUUGUUGAUGAGGAGAAGGUGGAGAGAGAAGUGGAAAAGAUAGAAGAGGAGAAAAUAGAGGAAGAUGAAGCAUAAAGGUUGAGUGAGGGAGAGAAAGAUGAGGAGAAAUAAAAAACAGUGGUUGAGAAAAAAAGAAAAAAAUAAGAAAAUAAGAAAAAAGAAAAAAAGAAAGUGGAAGAAGGAGAAGGUUGACAAAAAGAGGAAGAAAGGAAAGAAGAAAAUAUCAUAUGAAAAGCCCCUUCCUCAUAAAAAGAAAAUUAAUAGGAAGGAAAAAAAGUUCAAGUACUGUAUGUAGAUCUUCAAGAAAUUGGAGACCAAAAUUCCUAUGAUUGAAACAUGGAAACCGGUGCUUGGUUUGAUCAACUUUUUGAAGAGAUUCAGUAGGAAGAAGAAAAAGAAGAAAAUAACAAGCAAAAGGAGUAUCAACGCCUACUGAUGGGUGUUUGAACUCUAAUGGGUCAAGCUAAUGACGUUAAAAGAGCACUAACUAGGAGGCACCCCAGUGAUUGUUGUAUACUAUUUUUCUUUUAGUUGGAUUUGUAAAUAUUGGUAUUUUUGAACAUUUUUUUUUGGGUAGCAUCUACU